rnacentral:tRNA from 1 species
GCCUUCAUGGUGUAGUGGUCAGCACGCUCGGCGCUCGAGAGGUUGAGAGUUCCGUGGUUCGAGUCCCGGCGAGGGCA